GAUGAAGAACGUAGCGAAAUGCGAUGCGUAAUGUGAAUUGCAGAAUUCAGUGAAUCAUCGAGUCUUUGAACGCACAUUGCGCCCCCUGGUAGUCCGGGGGACAUGCCUGUCCGAGCGUCAUUGCUGCCCUCAAGCACGGCUUGUGUGUUGGGCCUCCGUCCUCCUCCCGGGGGACGGGCCCGAAAGGCAGCGGCGGCACCGCGUCCGGUCCUCGAGCGUAUGGGGCUUCGUCACCCGCUCUUGUAGGCCCGGCCGGCGCUUGCCGACACAUCAAUCUUUUUUCCAGGUUGACCUCGGAUCAGGUAGGGAUACCCGCUGAACUUAAGCAUAUCAAUAAGCGGAGGA
rnacentral:misc_RNA from 1 species